GCCGCCGAUCCCGUUGAGGAGCCGCCGCCGAUGACGGGAGACGCCGCACGCUGACCUACCCCCUCCCCAAUCCCUAGCCUCGCACCUCUUCCCGUCUGGCGCCUCCUACCUCGGCUGGGCGGUGGCCUCGAGUGCCUCUUCUUUCCCAAUGCGGCCUCAACCAACGACGCUGCACCCCGGUGAUGACUCCGCCCCACGAUUCCCAUCGGUCGGCGCCUUGCCAGCAGUGACCUCCCCCUCCAUGUAUCCUGUGAUCCGGCCGUGCGCCACCGCCUCUCCAGGCGCUUAGAUCCAGGCUUCCAGAAGGGGAUAGGAGUGGAGGCGGCAGCGGAGGGGACAGGGAUGUGGACCGGAGAAACUACAUGGUGGAGACACAACAAAGCGUUCACCAUCGCAUGCAGCUGCAGGUAACUACUUCCCUGAGUCUCCUUCGUAGGUGUGGUCACUAUAUUUCCUACUUGUGCAGAUCCUAACUGGUUGUAACUCCGUUCAUUCUCUUCCUAACAGUAGUUCGUCAGCCACAUUGGACUAAUCUAAUGCAUUCGAAUUGCCUUGGUGUAUGAAAAUAACGAUAUAGGCUUGAUGUGUACAAGCGCAUAGCUCCUUAUCUAGCCUAAUCUGAAUGUAGCUUAUAUUCUUAAUCUUUUUAUGCACACUAUUUUAGCCAGCGGCAGGUGUUGGGCACUUUGAGGUAUGCAAACCUUCUCAGAGCAAGGGGAGCAAGAGUACCGGUACUGCAUUUCUUAUCUUCAUCACUCAAAAUUCCCAGAACUAAUCGUGAGCUCUUGCUUUGAUACAGAACUAAUCUUGAAGAUGAUAGCCCUGUUUCUUCCCUGUUUUAGAUCAACCGUUCUUCUUUCUUCCUUGGAGCUCCACUGUUUUGGAUGAACUGGACUAACCCUAGUUAAUUGAUUAAUUUCUCAUGAAAAUAGAAUUUAGAUGAGAGUGAAACUGAACUGGAGGGUGCUUAAUUCGCCAUUUGUUUCUGGAUGGAGGCUACAUUAUUUUCUUUAGGGAGAACCCCUUUUCUGUACUAUACUCUGUACUUCAUAAGGACCUAAAUCCCUCUCAAUAGUCUUGCAAGGUGAACUCAAUUUGUUUUUUUUUGUGCUUAAUUGUGUAGAAGGGAUGAAGAUCAUCCACGAGGUGUCUCAAGGUGAACCCCGUGGUACCCGACCAAGUGGCUGGAGGGAAUGGUGUAUGCUCACAAGGUACGUGAUUUAGCUGUGCUUCUGACUAUAUGUGUGCUCAUGGCCUCAUGGGUUCUGAUAUAGCUGCGCUGGCUAUAUUUCAGUUUGUACAGACCAAUUUGUUUCACUCAGACAAGAAUCCCACGAACCUUAAUGUGGCCUUUAAGUUUCAGGUCCUUGGGGUUGGAUGCGGCAACUCGCGGCUCGAAGACAAUCUUUUGUGGUGGGGCGUCGCCGCCGCCGGCGGCACCUGCAUAGACCGUAUCGCUGGGAACGAAGAGAUGCUCCCCUGAUUUGGAGCUGUAGAAAGGAAGUGGUUGCAGACACAAAGUGGGGACACACAACUCCCAGUCAUAAUAUUCUUUAUCUUGGCUCGUUGUUUGGGGAUGGACGCAUCAAUCUGAUGGCGCUCUCCUCCAUGCCAAACGGAUCCUUGAUUCGGAGGCGCGCGGCGCCGACGAUGACAACCUUUCUAUCGACGCAAGGGCAGCAGGAGCUCAUGACACUGUUGAUGCCACCGCCAUGCAUGGGGUUGAUGCAAGGUGGGACAAUGUGAUCACUAAUGGGGAGAACAUAAAACUUCAAUUGAGGGCACUGUGAUUCUCUAGCUACAUGUAUCAUGGUCACCAACCACACAUGUCCAAAAGAGAUCCUUAUUUCACCUUUGUUUAUAGGUAUUCAACGUGAGGAAUUUUAUACUUUUGGAGUGGAGCUAUCAAAUAUAUAUUAUGAGUUUCUAAAACAUCUAUUAUAAGGAGUUGACCAGAGCUUCCUCUGCCCCGGCAGAUUCUGAGAAAACCAACCAGCAGAGAACAUGAACAAAUAUAGUGACGAGAAAGGGUGGAGCUGAGUACACCACACAUGGAUAUGAUGGUCUCCCCUAUAUUCUUUUUGGCAAUCCACUUAAUCACUGACUCAACUUUGUAUGGGUGAGCUAACGAGCCCGUGUUAUGUCUUCCCUCUUUCUUUGUAAGUGGAUGAUUUCAGAUUGCUCGUCAUUAUUCAACAACUAUACUUGUGAUAGAAAAAUGUGCUAAACUAUAGUACUCUCUCCGUCUCAUGAUAAGUUUCGCUAUACUUGUGAAAGAUUAAUGUAUAUUCUUCUAAAGUUAUAAUACAUUCAUGGUCUGUGUAUAUCAUUUGUAUGUUGCAAACCUGAGUCGGGCAGGCAGCAACUGAUUUCUUCAUUUGCUAUCUUUAUAUUCUUCAAAGCAAUAAAAGUGUAUGCGCAUUUGGUGAGAUUAGGGGAAUGUACUGACAAGUGACAAGCAUAUUUCCUUGUGUGUCGUCCUCGAUGCUGCUUCCUUAGUUCACACAGUACAUUUCUUAAUCACUUUUGUCGCAGAUGUUUGACACAUCCAACUACCAUGUUGAUUUUCUGAUCAUUCUUUGGUCUGGACUAUAUAUGAUAUAUGUAUUAUAUCAUCAGCACAAUGUGAUUCUUCUUCUUCUUGCAGGGCGCUUCCGAUGCACAGAUGGUGGCAGCAGGGGCGGAGCCAGGAUUUAGACAUAGGGGGGGCCAGACCGGUGCUAAAGUCUGUUUUUUUUGCCUCACAAACUACCUUAUUAUGUAACUUUGUUGUUGUACUAAAAAGAAGAUCAAUGCUGUCAGAAUACAUACAUAGAGAAUCAAACCCAGCCCCUACUCGUCCCCUCUACCGCUAGGUCGAGGUAGACUGCUUGGCCGUGGUUGGAAGGUGCGUGAUUUCAAACGAUUGCCUGUGCCCGAGCGCGACGCAUCACAAAUUACACAACCAAAAGUUGAAAUCUGAUGUAUAACGAAUUAAUGAUAGAAGAUGGGAAUUGAGAUAGAUUAGUAGACAGUGUGCUGGAUUAACCUUGGCUCGAUCAUUGGCUGCAGGACGAAUAAUUGGCGAGUGAAUCAGCUUGCGUUUACGAAUUAGAUCAUGAGAAUGGAGAGCAGAGGCGGGCGGCAGCGAGGGCGCAGGACGGCAACAGCGCAUCGCUAAUCAUAGGGAAUAAUGCCCAGCGCCCAGGAGACUUUUAACGGAGGCCAAUCAACAAAUAUGGCCUUGUCUUACUUUUAACGAAUUAAUAAUUUGUAAUACUUCCUACAAUUAUGAAGUUAUAUGAUUAAUAAUCUAUAUAAUGACUUAAGCAGGGGCUGUUGAAUGCAAUUCAAGCUGUGUUCCCACACUCACCUCAAAGAUAUUGUCUUAGACAUAUCUAUGCAAAUUUCCAGUCAGCUGGCUUCAGGAGUGAGGAGUUGAAGAAGCAUAUGGACAAUGCUGCAUAUUCAUACACCAAGAAUGGUUUUGAGGUUGCAAUGAAUGAACUGAAAAAGGAGGAUGAAGAUGCUUGGAAGUGGCUUUGUGAAAUCCCUAAAGAGACUUGGGCAAGGCAUGCUAUGGAUCACACAUGCAA